UGCUGGGGAUGACAGGAAGAGAAGACUUAAACGUAGUAAUAAUUGCAGAAAGCAUAUGCAAAAGAUAGAAACUUUCUUGAACUUCUUCUCCAUUGACUACUGCUUUUUUUUUUUUACAGCACAACAAAGAACAGCUUUUCUUUGUGUUUUUUCUUCAAGAUUUGCUUUGUAAAGCUUAUUUUUUUGCUUAAUUCAAAGUAAAGUUUUAAUCUUUGGUUCAAACUCUGCUCUUUCUUUCACAGCCUAUAAAGAUUGGUGCUUGCUUAAAGAACCGCCAUUUGUCAUUACCAAGGAAGAUAGUGCUUUAUGUUACAGCGAUGAAGGGAAACAAGUUUACAUGAUCUAUAGAAUUGAACAGUAACUGCAGUAUGGAACUGUUCCUUGCAAUUCUGAUAUUAGCAUGUCUCUACUCAUUUGUCUCGCCUGAUCAGCAGGGAGAUGCACUGUUUGCAUUGAAGAGUUCACUAAAUGCUUCGAAUGAUCAACUUUCUGAUUGGAAUCAGAAUCAAGUUAAUCCAUGCACUUGGUCAAAGAUAACUUGUGACGAUAACAGCAAUGUCUUGAUGGUGUCAUUGUCAAAUAUGGGGUUCACUGGCACUUUAACUCCAAGAUUAGGUGUUCUAGUGCAUCUUAAUACUCUUUCUUUGCAAGGAAAUGGAAUAACUGGUAAGAUUCCCGAAGCACUAGGAAAUUUAACCAGCUUGACCAUGUUGGAUCUGGAAAAAAACCGUUUGUCUGGAGAAAUACCAGCUUCCCUGGGCAAUCUAAAAAAGCUUCAAUUUCUUUUUUUGAGUCAAAACAAUCUGUCUGGGACUAUCCCUGACUCACUUUCAGGCCUUCCCAACUUGAUUAACCUUCAGCUUGCAUUAAAUGAUCUUACUGGAAAAGUUCCUGACAGUUUGUUCCAAGUCCCGAAAUACAAUUUUUCAGAGAACCAUUUGAAUUGUGGCUUAAACUUCAGUCAUCGUUGUGUAUCUGACAGUGAAGGUUCUCCCAGUAAAUCAAAGACUGGUCUCGUAAUUGGUAUCGUUGGUGGAUUUCUUGGAAUUAUCCUUCUUGGGGGAUUAAUGUUAUUUUUCUGGCGGGGGAGGAACAAAGGCUACAAACGUGAAAUCUAUGUUGAUGUUCCAGGUGAGGUUGACAGACGAAUUCCAUUUGGUCAAUUGAGGAGAUUCGCAUGGAGGGAAUUGCAACUCGCUACUGAUAACUUUAGUGAAAAGAAUGUUCUUGGACAGGGAGGUUUUGGCAAGGUUUAUAAAGGAGUGCUCAGUGAUAGCACUAAAGUUGCUGUAAAACGCUUAACUGACUAUGAGAGUCCUGGGGGAGAUGCUGCAUUUCAGCGUGAAGUUGAGAUGAUUAGUGUUGCUGUUCAUAGAAAUCUUUUGCGGCUUAUAGGAUUUUGCACCACACCGACUGAACGCUUGCUAGUAUACCCGUAUAUGCAGAACCUAAGUGUUGCCUAUCGUCUACGAGAACUUAAACCUGGGGAGUCUGUUUUAGCUUGGCCAACCAGAAAGCGCGUGGCACUGGGCACUGCACGUGGACUUGAAUACCUGCAUGAACACUGUAAUCCAAAAAUUAUUCACCGUGAUGUUAAAGCAGCUAAUGUUUUACUGGAUGAAGAUUUCGAGGCUGUAGUUGGUGAUUUUGGCUUGGCAAAGUUAGUUGAUGUUAGGAAAACCAACGUGACUACUCAGGUUCGGGGUACUAUGGGCCAUAUAGCUCCUGAGUACUUGUCCACUGGGAAAUCAUCAGAAAAAACUGAUGUUUUUGGAUAUGGGAUCAUGCUUUUGGAGAUUGUAACUGGUCAACGCGCUAUAGACUUUUCACGCCUAGAAGAAGAAGAUGAUGUCUUGUUACUUGACCAUGUUAAAAAACUGCAAAGGGAGAAAAGGCUGGAUGCUAUUGUCGACCGCAACCUACAUAAGAACUAUAACAUGGAUGAAGUAGAGAUGAUGAUUCAAGUUGCAUUGCUGUGUACUCAAGGAUCACCAGAGGACCGUCCAGCAAUGUCAGAGGUAGUACGAAUGCUUGAAGGAGAGGGACUUGCUGAGCGGUGGGAAGAAUGGCAGCAUGUCGAAGUUACACGUAGGCAAGAAUACGAGAGACUACAACGACGAUUUGAUUGGGGCGAAGAUUCAAUCUAUAAUCAAGAUGCAGUUGAACUGUCUGGUGGAAGAUAACAAGAUCUGUAACUCCAAACAAGUACAUAAUUUCCUGGAGAAGGCCUCAUUUGUGCUAUGAUGCUGUGGCCUCAGCUUGAACGUUGACGUUUGCUCGUCUCCUUGCCUGUCCUAACCAUUGCCCGUGAUCAUGAUUCCCUCCGUCACUUUCAUCAGCAAGAAGGUACUGUGGUGUCCUUUCCGAGGUCCUCUGAUUCGUAUUAGUAUCUUCAAAAUGAACAGUGCACUUCAUGUAAUCUGCACCCGACAUAGCAAGAGCAUCAACUGACAUAGCUUCAAACUCUCCUAUUCUCUCUCGUCAAGGCUCUAAAGUCUUCGAAAUAAGGUAAGUUAUUUGACAUUGAUGAAGCGUAUUUAUACUGAUUCCGCCCUUAACAUAUCUCGUGCAUUGUUGUUCUUUUCAUUUUCGAUACAAAAUUCUGACAUGUGAAAGAAGUUAUAGCAGCCUAGACACUUUAUACAUACAGAACAUAUGAAUUCGUUGAUAUAUCCGUGACUCGAGUUGCUUUUUUCGCCUUUUCUACUGGGAAUUUAAUGGUUUUGUGGACACUUUUUCUAUGUCUUAGAGAAGAUAUUUGUUGUUAUGAUACAGUCAUGUUCAUUCAAUGUAUGAAGAGUUUAUAUUACCAGUUGUUAUAGGGAACAUAUAUGUGGUGAUGAAGAGAUUAUAGUAAAAAGGAGAUGAAUUA